rnacentral:rRNA from 1 species
GUGAGGAAUAUUGGUCAAUGGGCGGGAGCCUGAACCAGCCAAGUCGCGUGAAGGAAGAAGGAUCUAUGGUUCGUAAACUUCUUUUGCAGGGGAAUAAAGUGCAGGACGUGUCCUGUUUUGUAUGUACCCUGAGAAUAAGGAUCGGCUAACUCCGUGCCAGCAGCCGCGGUAAUACGGAGGAUCCGAGCGUUAUACGGAUUUAUUGGGUUUAAAGGGUGCGUAGGUGGUUUGAUAAGUCAGCGGUGAAAGUUUGCAGCUUAACUGUAAAAUUGCCGUUGAAACUGUCGAUCUUGAGUGCAAAUGAGGUAAGCGGAAUGUGUUGUGUAGCGGUGAAAUGCUUAGAUAUAACACAGAACACCGAUUGCGAAGGCAGCUUACUGGGAUGCAACUGACGCUCAUGCACGAAAGCGUGGGGAUCAAACAGGAUUAGAUACCCGGGUAGUCC